AGGCAACCUGCCCUCAAGUUUGGGACAACUACCGGAAACGGUAGCUAAUACCGAAUAGUUGUUUUCUUCGCCUGGAGAGAACUGGAAAGACGGAGCAAUCUGUCACUUGGGGAUGGGCCUGCGGCGCAUUAGCUAGUUGGUGAGGUAACGGCUCACCAAGGCGACGAUGCGUAGCCGACCUGAGAGGGUGAUCGGCCACACUGGGACUGAGACACGGCCCAGACUCCUACGGGAGGCAGCAGUAGGGAAUCUUCCGCAAUGGGCGAAAGCCUGACGGAGCAAUGCCGCGUGAGUGAUGAAGGUUUUCGGAUCGUAAAGCUCUGUUGCCAGGGAAGAACGCUUGGGAGAGUAACUGCUCUCAAGGUGACGGUACCUGAGAAGAAAGCCCCGGCUAACUACGUGCCAGCAGCCGCGGUAAUACGUAGGGGGCAAGCGUUGUCCGGAAUUAUUGGGCGUAAAGCGCGCGCAGGCGGUCAUUUAAGUCUGGUGUUUAAUCCCGGGGCUCAACCCCGGAUCGCACUGGAAACUGGGUGACUUGAGUGCAGAAGAGGAGAGUGGAAUUCCACGU
rnacentral:rRNA from 1 species